GACGAACGCUGGCGGCGUGCCUAAUACAUGCAAGUAGAACGCAGUUGCGAACGGGUGAGUAACGCGUAGGUAACUGCCUCAUAGCGGGGGGUAACUCUUGGGAACGAUAGCUAAUACCGCAUACUGUGAGAUGGACCUGCGUUGUAUUAGCUAGUUGGUGAGGUAAAGGCCCACCAAGGCGACGAUACAUAGCCGGCGUGGGAGGGAGGUCGGCCACAAUGGGAACUGGACACGGCCCAGACUCCUCCGGGAGGCAGCAGUAGGGAAUUUUUGGCAAUUGAGGGAAGUCUGACCGCGCAACGCCGCGUGAGUGGAGAAGGUUCUCGGAGUGUAAAGCUCUGUUGUGAGAGGAGCGGUAACUACCGAGAAAGCGCCGGCUAACUACGUGCCAGCAGCCGCGGUAAUAC
rnacentral:rRNA from 1 species